AUACGUAGGGGGCGAGCGUUGUCCGGAAUGACUGGGCGUAAAGGGCGUGUAGGCGGUUGUCUAAGUCUGGAGUGAAAGUCCUGCUUUCAAGGUGGGAAUAGCUUUGGAUACUGGAUGACUUGAGUGCGGAAGAGGUAAGUGGAAUUCCCAGUGUAGCGGUGAAAUGCGUAGAGAUUGGGAGGAACACCAGUGGCGAAGGCGACUUACUGGACUGUAACUGACGCUGAGGCGCGAAAGUGUGGGGAGCAAACAGGAUUAGAUACCCUGGUAGUCCACACUGUAAACGAUGAAUGCUAGGUGUAGGGGGUAUCGACCCCUUCUGUGCCGCAGUCAACACAAUAAGCAUUCCGCCUGGGGAGUACGGCCGCAAGGUUGAAACUCAAAUGAAUUGACGGGG
rnacentral:rRNA from 1 species